UAUAGUUGUCAGUGUAUAGAUUUUUCACCUCUUUGGUUAGAUUUAUUCCCAGAUAUUUUAUGGUUUUUGGUGCAGUUGUAAGUGGGAUCGAUUCCUUGAUUUCUCUUUCUGUUGCUUCAUUGUUCGUGUAUAGGAGUGCAACCGAUAUCUGUGCAUUGAUUUUCUAUCCUGCCACUUUGUGGGAUUCGUGGAUCAGUUCCAGCGGUUUUUUGGUGGAAUCUUUUCGGUUUUCCAUUUAGAGAGAGUAUCAUAUCAUCUGCGAAGAGUGAAAGUUUAACCUCCUCGUGGCUGAUUUGGAUGCCUUCUAUUUCUUUGUGGUGUCUGAUUGCUGAGGUGAAGACUUCCAAUACUAUGUUGAAUAACAGUGGCGAGAAUGGACAUCCUUGUCUUGUUCCUGACCUUAGAGGGAAAGCUCUCAGGUUUUCCCUACUGAGGAUGAUACUAGCGUUUCUCUGCACAACCGCCGGCUGCUGGCCACACCUGGGAACGUUCGAGGGACUCUGCUGCUGCCGUCACCAGAGACUGCGGCUGGGCGCCAGCCCGUCCCAGAGAAGGUUCAUGCGAUCGUGUAGCCGCAGCGUUGGAGGGAUCAUGGAAGAUCACAACACGCAUCCGGCACCAGGCUUCGCCCUUCCCACCAGAGCACCGCCAGUAGGCUGUUUCCUGGAAUUCAUAAAGGAGAGAAGGUCUUUAACUGCCCCCUUUUGCCCAGAAUCAUGAGUCACGGAAGCUUGGUGAAGUUCAACAUUAUCAGAGUCAAGGCCGCGAGCGCGGGAAACUGCACAGGAAGAGGAGAGCCAGGGAACCUGAUGAGCUCUCUUCUGUCAGCCACACAGUAGGCACUUGGGACUCAACAAGGAAUUCUCCUCACUCCCUUCCCUGAUACAUUUAUACCCUGAACUAUCAAAAGUAUUCUUCAUAAGUCAAAAAUAAAACCAACCAAACAAAAAAACCUUUCAGGAAAUAGUUUUUUUAUAUCACGGUCUGUGUUCUAAUCCUUUGGCGAUUUCUUUCAACCUUUUCUUGAAGCACACAUCAUAAAGGGGGGCUGGAAGGAGGCAGGAUUUGGCAAGAGCUGGAGAACCCCAUGGACCCAGAUCUGAGUCUCCUGCACACAAACGUGAAGGGUAAGUCUGGUCACCUGUUUAGAUGCUCUUGGCUUUCCCAGGCUCUGUCUUGGAAGGUUCAAAUCAUCAAGGGUAUCUCCGGGAGACUGUAUUUUCCAGAGUUACUUACAGGUCUAAGGAAGGAGGGGUCUGUUUGUUUGAUCCUGGAAAAAGUUAGAUUUUUAUUUCCUGGCAAGAACUUGAUUUAUCAUUUCCAGUUUUUAUACUCAGUCUCUGCUUGCGUUUCAUGGGUCCUCAGUUAUCUUUUGUCCUAGGGAGCUGAAUUUCUAGACCGUAAGCUGCUCAUGGGAAGAGACUAUAUAUUUUCUAUCACCCUUGCGUCUCCCAAACCCAAAUUGGUCUUAAAAGGAGAGUAGAUCCUUAAGCAAGUGCUAUCAGCUGGUCAGUGUCCUUUGUUCAUCCUUGGCUCAUAAGAAACAGAACUGUUACCUCCGUGAUCACUGCCAGCUUUCAUCUUUGGUUUGAGGUUUUAAACUCUAUUCCUUGUUGACUUUCCAGGGAACAGGUCCCUGAGAAAAGGUUUCUCUUCCCCAGGAAUCUGAGGCAGGGAGUGUUGGGGAGCUUAAGGGAAAACCGAAUUCAAAGAGGGAUGUAUGGGUCUGUAUAAGGCAAGAGGCAAAGAAAGCGGGGUCAGUUCUGUGAGGUUCUCUGGCUCUUAUCCCAGAGGUGCCCGGAGACCACUUGUGAGAGAAGCCUAGAACUGAGUCACCUGGUCCAGGGAACCAGGUGGAGAAUUACGUGGACCAUACGUGUGGGUCUUGGUUUCCAGACCUGGCUCUGAUACUGUCUGUCUGACCAUCUUAUACAGAUGGUGCCUUUUUGGGACCUUCAUUAUCUCUUGAUUUUCUCACCUCCCUUCCCCCCAAAUCUUGGUGUGGUCCUAUAAGUUCUGUUUUUCUAAGACCCUUCUGGGCAGGCAUCUUUAGCUGAUGCCAGAUCAAGAGUACUUCCGGGCACACACGUGGAGAUGGGGAAGACGAUGGGGAUGAUGCCCUUUGACGGGUUUGCAGAAAUCACACACACGUCCGUGUCGGCACUGUCUUCAGAAGUAAGUGUGAGUAGAACGUGUGCUGGGCCCCAACCCCACAUACCGUUUUUGAACAGAAUCCAAGGACACCAACCCCCCAGAUUCCACUUGGGCCCUGCCAUCCUCCCUAGAACUGAGUUGUUGUUUUUUAAAGAGUGGCUUCUCUUCCUACAUAUCCUUGCACCGAUAACCAGAAUGGGUUUUCCGCGGGUCCGUAACCAUCAUCAUCACAUAAUUUUUAACAUAAACUUUACACUAUAUACAAUGUUAUUUGGAUAAUACACUUACGUGUGAACUGUAGAAAUCAAGCAUGUGUAUGAUAUGUACAUGUGUACCCGAGCAUUGGUAUUCACAGGAUAAGUGCGUUUUACCACGUCUGAUGUCUAUCGAGUGGGAAGCUGACCUCAUCGGAUAGGACUAGAUGUGAACACAGCAUGAUGUGAGGGGGUUGAAUGGAAAAGCACAACUGAAUUUUGGUAUAGACCCCACCAAACCUCUCAUUCAGCACUUCCAACCCUGUUGGCCAAAAGAAUAUGAGGCAUCCGGAAGGCCUAAUUUUGUCUCAGGUGGAAAUAAACACUGCUUUUGCAUUGAAGACCGCCUUUACGUGGAACCCUGGACUCCCAUGAAAUACCGACCAAUGAGUUUUGUUGCCACACGUGCCAUUUUUUUUUUUACCCCUAGAACUCUGAGUUCUGCCCACGUUCGUCGCGGUCAAACGCAAACAGCCUCUGUUUCAGAAACAACUCAAAUCCCCUUCGCAAGGAUUCCUGAACAACAGCUCUGCACAAAGAAACAGUACAGGGAUGUGCCUGAAGUUAACAAAUAUAUUCAGCUCUUCUGAAAGAUAUUUUGGUUUCUCAAAUGAGUAUUUAUUUAGGUCUUAUGCCAUAAGGGAUUUCAGUGCAAGGUAUUUAUUUAUACGGCAACCGAUUAUUAGAGCUGCACUUCUUAGGUUGAAAGGACAUAAAUUUUUAAUCACCAUUUAAUUAACACCAACUUUGUUUUUUUGUUUGUUUGUUUUUUUCCUUUUUCAUUAGCAAUUCUAUUUGCCAAGAAUUCAGGGCAUUUGUCAUUUCCUGAGAAGGACGCAGAAUAUUAAACACACAUCACUGGCAGACAUAUCAAAUAGAAUAAACAAUGUAGGGCUGUAUGACUGCUACGGAUCUGUUGACUAAUUAACAGCCUUGGCGAGAGUCCCAUUUAAGUGAAACUAUUUCAUUUGUAAACAAGGUGUAAUUUUCUUGUUCCUUCCUUGAAAAUAAGUGUGAGUCGAUUUGACUGAUUUUUGCUGCGAUGAUCGGUUUCAUCAGAACAGCAGAGGGUGAAAACUUCUUAGGCUCCCUGCAACAGGGAAGAGAAACCUAGUCUAAUCCACGAGACACCCAGUCACGUGGCUGGCUGUAAUGACAAAGUGAGAUGUGCAGAGAACAGAAGAGUGGGGAGAUCAAAAUCCCGCACCUCUCAAGGAAGCCUCACUGGCAGAAACACAGACGCACGAGGAACCUGUCUUCUCAGAUCAGUGAAGCCAGAAGUGGUCUAAGACUGUAAGGACAGUGAGGACUAUUUUUGAGAAACUCAAAGGUUUCCAGGGUGUAAUUCAUGCCCUAGAAGGCCCUCCUCUUACACAGACUGUUUUAAGCUGGGCCUGUGUAUACUGUUACCGAUCAACAGAAACGUAUGUAUCUGCCUUCAGAAGUACGAGCCGGAUCCCUCUCAAGUAGAGAAGGCCAGUUAGGGUGGCCAAAGUACCAUUAUGGAUGCCAGCUGUGACUUGAGUCAGGUGAAACUCAGGCACAAAUUUGGGUUCAGAGAUUCUGGCUCUUUGAGAUCUAAGAUCUCAAGCUGGCAUGUCAGCGGAACUGUCUGUGAUGGGUCCAGAGUCAAGGGCUUCCUAUUUAUGCCUUGAUAGGCUUCUGCAAAGAACAGAACUGACUUGAUUACUUUGGAAUUGCUCCGCGUCAUUAUCUUUCUCUUGGCAAUUGCCCAUCUGAUUCGACGGUCAAUUUUCUGAUGUUUGCGAUCAUCACCGUUGAGAGUCAACAAAUUUGGAAAAGAGGGAAAUUAUACAUUCAUUAUAUAGAGCAUUCCAAUCCUCAUUGUUUAUUUUGUUUAAAAAAAAAACCACUUUGGGUAUUAAAGGAAGCACGUGUUUUUUUCAGUAUGUUACUGUUGCUUCUUUACCUAGAUAAACAUGGGGUUAACAGCGGAAAUUAUGCUGUUGUUAGCAGGAGGGUUUUUGAUCUAUGGGACGUUAUGAGUGUAAGUCACCUUCUCCCUGGAGGCCUCUGUCACAGUUGGCAGCCCCCUUGGGUUUUGAGGACACGGGAAGAAGACAGAAAGCCUCUUUGGGUUGAUGACACAACACUGCCGUGUGUGCUGGGGAGACUUUGUAAUUCAUUUCAUGUCAUGACACGCCAGUCUUGUGAGGGAGGGAGGUGAUCCUGGCUGGGGGGAAUGUAGGUCUGGAAAGCAAUGGGAGGGCAGAGGCAGAAAGUUCUAAAACACAAAACAGCAAGGUCUGUGCCUAAGACCGGAAUGGAUAUAGGCUUCUCCACUGUUGGCUCUUGGGCAGCAGAAGCAUACCAUCUGAGAAAGAAAAUACAAUGUCUGCAUACGUUUGUCCUCGGUGCCUGGCCAGCCUCUUGAGCCUCUCAACCUCAAAGGUGAGGAGAGGACUUUUGGCCCCUCUGCCUCCCCACCGAUGACCCUGAAACUUACGGCGACCACUUCUCAUUACUGCUGGGUGCACUGGCCCAACGAUGGAGCUAUUCAAUGAAUCCUGAAGCUCUGAAAGAAUCGUUCCUGGCCCCGCCCCCUGGCAGGAAAACCCUGCCUACAAGACAGAACGUGCCAUGUGUAAAAGAAACAGGGUAGCUACCCCUCCGUCCCCUUCUCUGAGAACCCAAAGCAAAAUGCGGGAGGAAACCAGGAGACUGUCAGGUUCAUCUUAGCUUAGGGUUUCCACCGUAUCUUGUCAAGCAGACUCAGCUACUCUACAGAACCUGAGGCCUAGUCAUCCCAGAAAUCUCAGGGGCGAUAAUGAAUGUAAAAUAACCUAAAUCAGAACUAUAUAAAAUGUACAACUAACAUUGUUUGUGGGGGUCAUAAUAUUUAGUUUUUAAACUAGGAAAUUCUGAUAAAGUGUCAGAACGUAACAACUACCUUUUUGAGGGGGGGGGGCUCUUGGUGUGAGCGAGGCACUGUGCCAAGAGCUUCUGAUGCUGAAGCUUCCCCUUCUCCCCGCACUGUUUUUUAAAGGCGUAUCAUUUCAUAUCACACACGCACAGGUCUGAGUAAAGCAAGAAACGGACAACGGGGGUGGCUCGGAAAUGACAAAUGCUCUGGGGAGUUUGUCCUAGAUCUCUGUUGGUGCUGGUGAAGCACUGUGCCUCCAAUCGAGCGAGUAUUUCAGAAGAGAGUAAUCGUGUUUGCCACUAAAGUUUAUCCACGAUUUUGGAGGAUGCUCAGGGUCGAUGCAUGAGGGUCUCUCAUGUUUUGAAGGCUUUUGAUCUGAGGAGGUUGGGGUGGGAACGAAUGUCCAACUGAACUUCAUGAGGUUAAGGACAACCUAAAAGCGUGCCAGCCUUCAGUGGACAGACGGCAUUGUACUUUUUACAGAUCACGUGGCUGCUGGCAUAUGCCACGAUGUUGACAACCCUGGGAACAGUGACACACACUUGGACUCCACCAUAGCUGUUCGGGGACUGAACGAGUGAUGGUCACUCUAGGAGGUAAGGGGUAACAGAUACUAUACAACCCUGAGUCGUCACCAGAAGGGGGGGGGAACACAGACUUACGUACAUAGGAAUCUUCGGGAUAAACUACAACAGCCUCUGUGUCCAGAGACAGAAGAUCCACAGAUUAGGUGUCGGAGACAUACACGUAUCGGUUUGUGCAGCUCUGAACAAGACCAUCGAAGCCAAGGGUGAGAGAGUGUCUGUGAAACACACAAGUUGACAUCCAGAGAGAUUCUCGUCGUUCUCCGCCUGAGGGCCCUCCUGGCCUUUUCCUCCAGAUGAGUCUUGGAAACAGACUCUAGUGAAGGCACCAUCGGACAUCCGACAUUUACCCUCCAGAACGUUGGCUGUUACGUAUGUUUCCCUAUAGAUAAAACAUUAAUGGAAGGUUCUAAACAUCAGAUUCGAUACUAGGCAUUUUCUUGUACACACGUCUACUGCUGCAGGAAUUCAAAACCCUGGGGGUGGAGUACAUAUUGUUCUUAUUUGCAGCAUAAGGCCUAACAUGCUCUGAGAUAUACACGUCGUCGUGGCCUCUACUGUCCCUGGAACAGUACGACGCUGUGGACCUCAAGGACGAUCGAAGGUAGCUGUCAUUCACGGCCUGGGAUGGCAGCGAGUGUUUGUAAGGGUCCGAGGGGCAUCUCCCAAUGACUAAGCGUCGCUCGUCCCCAUGGCAGCGGAGGAAAGGGUUCUCGGAGGUGUGGUCCGGCAAGAGAGACUUGCUCCGUUUGCUGUCCUGCAGACCCUGGGGUAAGAGGGAGCUUUUGUUCCCCAAGAGUUUGCUUGAGGGCACGCUACAGAGACUCCCAUACAGGUUUCCCUCCAGAAGCCGUUCCCGGUCCUUGAGGCUUAUGCUCCUGGAGGGCCUGCUAAGGUCUGUCUCCCGAGGUUUGUCGAGAAUGUUGUCGUAGGAGUGCUGACGGCUGAUCCUGAGUUUGUUCUUCUGGAACUGGAGGGUGCUGUUCUGCGCCCAGUCCUGCUGGUAGACCUCCUCCUGGGCGGCCGGGCUCCCUGUCUCCUGGAGCAUCUGGUCUUCGUCGAUGUCGUACAGGUUCCCCAUCCGCAGGCAGGCGUCGCACUUGAAUGGGGACCUCACGGUGAAGUGGCCUGAGUAGGUGGGCAGGUUGGAAAGGCAGCUCCUGCAGUGGGUGGAGUUCUGUCGGUACCGCUCGCUGCCCUCGCUGUGAGGGGGACUCUUGUCUUUCAGGGUGAAGUGCUUGGAGUAGAACUUAUACUUGUCAUUGUUGGGGGGUCCGUCUUCAUUGUGCAGGGGGUUCCUGGUGGCCGGCAGCGCGGGGUCCCCCUUGCGGAAGUUCUCGUCGUGGUCUGGGUAGGGGUCUGUAAACUCCACGUUCUCGGGAAGGGCCAUGUUCUCAACGAACUGGGGAGGGUCUAAGUGGAAACUGGGCUCCUUCUCACCAUCGAUGGUGUAGAUCUUGUCCCUGGGGGAGCUCGCUUUGGUUUUCAGGUAGGAGCGCUCGACCUCACUGCAGUCCUUGGGGUAUUUGGAGGCUGCUGACCUUUUGAAGUUGUCCUUGGUCUUGUGGUUCUUGUUGUCUGGCUCUCUGUGGCACGUGGCCCGACUCGAAGUUUCCGAGAUGUCCGAAUGGGCCACCUCUUCUGGAAGGUAUCUAGGACUCUUUAGGGAGUGGGUCCUGUUCUCCACUGCUCCCUCGUCCCUCUGGGAGACAGGGUUCUGGCUCAGGGAGUCUUGGCGCAGUGAUUCCAUGGAUUUCUUCCAAAGCUGCCGGGGCCUGGAGUUGGCUUUGGAUUCUGUGCUCACGGCCACCUCCACCGUGUUGGGGUUGGACUCAUUGAGCGUGAGAGGGUGCUGUCCCUGGAACACAUAGUUAUUGAGGCCGUCCUUGUGCCUAUUGGCCACGAAUGUUUGCAGUUCGUUCAUGUUGUCCCCAAAAAUGGUGUCUUUCCCCUGAAAGGACCUGUUGUCUGAAUAGAUCAAAUUUCCCUUAUCUGAAACCAUGUCCAUGAUGAGGGAACCUCUUUGGAUGAAGUCUCCAGCCCUUUUGGGGGAAUCCAUUCUUGAGGAGUUCAUGUUGGACAUGUCAGAGAUGUUUUUGGCUGACCGAAGGAGUUUUAACAUGUUGCUCUGGGAUCCGGUCAGGUUGAAGUCUGGAGACUUCUUCUUCUCUUCAAUGUGCACUCCAUGAAUGCAGCUGUAAAUGCCCUGUGGGAAAGAACACGAGACCUCAUCAGUGGCAGCAGGGACAGAAAAACACUGCACACCCAAGCUUUACCUGCGAAGGAGCUUCCCGAGGGACAUCGAGCCCAUGGGGACAGCUGCAUGUGUCUGCUGGGUGUUGAAGGUGCUACCAGAACCGGUAAGUGGAGACCCCUGGCUGCUGUGCAGGAGAACACCUGCCUCGGGUGCAGGCACAUUUCAGAGCAUCCUGGAUCCACGUCCCUACACUCAGAAAUGGGCGGAAGCACGCGACCCAGCCCGGUGCACAAGACAGUCCUCCUCUUUCCUGCCUUGUUCUGGCAUGAUAGGUGAAGCAGGAGACAUAACGUGAGGCCGAAAGGGUCCUGUUCCGCCCUUCACGGCCUCAGUUUCUCCAUAUCCAUAGGAUGGGUGUGGUCAUGUCACACACACACAGGUGCUGUCAGGAUUAGAGAUGACAGGGAGACGUCAGUCACCUGGCCCUUAUUCACAUGCUGGACAUGAUUCGUUGUGGGGUUGUGAUCUUGAAUUGGUAGGAAAGUGGGUUCUUGGCUUGGGGAUUCCCCACUGCAGGUUUGUUAAAGAAAAUGUUUACAUGCCUACAACGAGGGCGCUUCUGUUUCUGUGUGUAUGGCCUGCUCGGUGUGAAGAAUAUACAUGUAAGCUGGCAUGUGUGUGAAUGUGCCCAUAGGACGAAUUUAAGAGAUGUGUGUUAGCCCUUGAUCAGAAAGAAGGAACAUUUUUCUUGAGCAAUCUGAAAGCCCUGCUAUGCGUGAAAUUGGGUGCUGAGCUCAUUCUGAGUUCCCUAACAAAUGAGAGAGGCAGGAAAAGUAUAUUAAAUACGAAAUCCUUCUCUUCACACAUAUUAGGGCUGCACUUAUUUAAAACAUAGUAUCUGGGGAGAAGGAGGGUCAGUGCUCAAGCAGCAUUCCCUGCAGCCUUUGAGGACACAGGAAUGCUGGUGGAUGGGAGUCCCCAAGGGGCAGAAAAGUCCUUGCAGUGCUCCUGUGAGGCACGGGUCCUCUCUCCCCCAGGGACGGGAGACCGAAGUUCAGAUUCCAGCCUGUAAAGCUGACGAUGCCUACUCCUGUGUGCCCCACUGCCCCCCAAUCCUGCUCAAGAUGCUUGCAAGGGCAGCGGGGGAUUUAGUUCAUGCCUCAUAAUGACAGUCCUCUCAACUGGCUGCCUUAAUGGUAUCUCAGAGGAAACGCUCUUCCAGAUCCAAGCAGGAUUUACAAGGAAAUGCAACAGUGUGCAUUUGCUCAUGAUAAUCCCAGAGUCAUUUGGGUAUGGAAAGCCUUUAGUAAUUGGUGGAGAGAAUUAGCUUAAAGUUGGCAUAAUACCUCGCUAGAUGCGUGCACAUUGUUAUUUUUAAGCAGUCUGUGUUUAGAUGCCAUCAAGUUAAUUAGGAAAUAUGUAUUUGCACAGAAUGCAAGUUAAGAGUGCCACUGAACAGAAAAAAAUAAAUCUUCCUCACUAAGCUAAUAUGUGCCUUCUGAAUCUCCAAAGUUCUUAAAAUCACCAAAUGCUAAGAAAACACAAAUUCCUUUAAAAAUGAUUAUUUAGUUUUCCCAAUAACCAUUAGCAUAUAAAACCAGGUGUUUGUACCCAAGUGUUUUUCACCAUGUUUCGUGUCUUAAUUCAUUAAAUUCUUUCAGAGUGAAAACAUUCCAAGGUGAGUAAAUGGGAGAAAUAGGUAGAUAAAUAAAUGGACCAGAUGGAUGGAUGGAUGGAUAGGUAAAUGGGUGUAGGGAUGGAUGUACAGAUGGAUGAAUGAAAUGGGUAGAUGGAUAGAUAAAACAGGUGGGUGGAUAGAUGAGAUGAAUGGAUGUAUGGGUGAAAUGGGUGAGUGGAUGGAUGGAUGGAUGGGUGAAUGGACGGACGGAUGGAUGAAAUGAAUGGAUGUAUGGGUGAAACGGAUGGAUGGAUGGAUGAACUAGGCAGAUGGAGGGAGGAAUGACUGAUGGGCUGUGAGGUAAAUAGAUGUUAAAUUCUGUUAGAAGAUGAGUGAAUGAUAUGUACAUAUGAUGUAAGUGACAAGAUCAUGUCAGUUGCAUGCACAUAUGUAUCAUGUAGUAUGAUCUGUAUCAAAUCUCUUGUGUUGCUUGUAUUUGAUGUUUGUUGCUUGUGUAGGAACCUGUGCUCUGGCUGGUACCACACCACCUCGGCUCAAGUCCCGGCUCCACCAAGGCUGGGCAGCCGUGGAUGAUCCUCUAACCUCAUUCCCCAUCUGUAAUCUGGGAUGAAGAACAGUUACACGCCUCACAGAAAUGGCUUGUAGGUGAAAUGAGAUGAAGAGGAUGCAGUCCGUACAGGGUGCUUGGCACCUAUCGGUGCUGCACAAAUACAGGCAUUUUCCAUGAUCGUUGCUAUUA